rnacentral:rRNA from 1 species
AUUGAACGCUGGCGGCAGGCCUAACACAUGCAAGUCGAACGGUAACAGGAAGCAUCUUGCUGCUUCGCUGGCGAGUGGCGGACGGGUGAGUAAUGUCUGGGAAACUGCCUGAUGGAGGGGGAUAACUACUGGAAACGGUAGCUAAUACCGCAUAACGUCGCAAGACCAAAGAGGGGGACCUUAGGGCCUCUUGCCAUCGGAUGUGCCCAGAUGGGAUUAGCUAGUAGGUGGGGUAACGGCUCACCUAGGCGACGAUCCCUAGCUGGUCUGAGAGGAUGACCAGCCACACUGGCAAUGAGACACGGUCCAGACUCCUACGGGAGGAAGCAGUGGGGAAUAUUGCACAAUGGGCGCAAGCCUGAUGCAGCCAUGCCGCGUGUAUGAAGAAGGCCUUCGGGUUGUAAAGUACUUUCAGCGGGGAGGAAGGGAGUAAAGUUAAUACCUUUGCUCAUUGACGUUACCCGCAGAAGAAGCACCGGCUAACUCCGUG